UACGAAGGGGGCUAGCGUUGUUCGGAAUUACUGGGCGUAAAGCGCGCGUAGGCGGCCCGACCAGUCGGAAGUGAAAGCCCCGGGCUCAACCUGGGAACGGCUUUCGAUACUGUCGGGCUCGGGUUCCGGAGAGGAUGGUGGAAUUCCCAGUGUAGAGGUGAAAUUCGUAGAUAUUGGGAAGAACACCGGUGGCGAAGGCGGCCAUCUGGACGGACACUGACGCUGAGGCGCGAAAGCGUGGGGAGCAAACAGG
rnacentral:rRNA from 1 species